UAAUACGUAGGCAGCGAGCGUUGUUCGGAGUUACUGGGCGUAAAGGGUGUGUAGGCGGUUCUCUAAGUCUGGUGUGAAAUCUCCCGGCUCAACUGGGAGGGUGCGCCGGAAACUGGGGGGCUAGAGUGCGGGAUGGGAGAGUGGAAUUCCUGGUGUAGCGGUGAAAUGCGUAGAUAUCAGGAGGAACACCGGCGGUGUAGACGGCUCUCUGGACCGUAACUGACGCUGAAACACGAAAGCGUGGGUAGCAAACAGGAUUAGAUACCCUGGUAGUCCACGCCCUAAACGAUGCACAUUUGGUGUGGGUCAUUCAGUUGAUCCGUGCCGGAGCUAACGCGUUAAAUGUGCCGCCUGGGGAGUACGGUCGCAAGGCUG
rnacentral:rRNA from 1 species